rnacentral:miRNA from 1 species
ACAUCAUGUUUGGUGUUUAUGACGUCGAUAUUCGACGUCAUAAACACCAUCAAGUUUGGUGUUUAUGAUAUCGAAUAUCGACGUCAUAAACACCAUCAAGU